AGUGAACGCUGGCGGUAGGCCUAACACAUGCAAGUCGAACGGCAGCACAGUAAGAGCUUGCUCUUACGGGUGGCGAGUGGCGGACGGGUGAGGAAUACAUCGGAAUCUACUUUUUCGUGGGGGAUAACGUAGGUAAACUUACUCUAAUACCGCAUACGACCUACGGGUGAAAGCAGGGGAUCUUCGGACCUGUCGCGAUUGGAUUAGCGGAUGUCGGAUUAGCUAGUUGGGGGGUUAAAGGCCCACCAAGUCGGCGAUCCGUAGCUGGUCUGAGAGGAUGAUCAGCCACACUGGAACUGAGACACGGUCCAGACUCCUACGGGAGGCAGCAGUGGGGAAUAUUGGACAAUGGGCGGAAGCCUGAUCCAGCCAUACCGAGUGGGUGAAGAAGGCCUUCGGGUUGUAAAGCCCUUUUGUUGGGAAAGAAAAGCAGCAGGUUAAUACCCCGCUGUUCUGACGGUACCCAAAGAAUAAGCACCGGCUAACUUCGUG
rnacentral:rRNA from 1 species